rnacentral:lncRNA from 1 species
ACGCCCUCGGGUUUUUAAUUAGAAUGAAUACAGAGACCAGCUUCGCAUAAUUAAAAUAUUUUUAAUACGGAAAAGGAGCUAAUUGACUUGAAGUAACUCGAAGAUUCAGGGCGAAACAAGCGAAGGAGUCACUAGUGAUCGUUAGUGGUGAGGCACGAAUCGUGAAGCUGUAGUAAGGUGAAUUGUGAGGUUAGGAAACGAGGCUCGUUCGUGUAACGCGAAUGCAGUUGCUUCGCAAUGGACACAAUCCGAUGGCAGCCAAUUUUGACAAUCUUUUUGCUCAAAUUUACGUAUAAAUAGAAUCUUUUAUAUGUUCACAAACAUUCGCAGAUAAAUUGACUCCAUUAUAUACUUGUAUAUUAUUUUAUAUUAAUAUAUACUUAUAUGUAUAAUAGCUCAAUAAGAAAGUUUGGAAAUAUACAUUUUCGUGC